ensembl:snRNA U6 U6 spliceosomal RNA
GUGCUCACUUUGGCAGCACAUACAAUAAAAGUGGAAUGAAACAGAGAUGAUUAACAUGGCCCCUGUGCAAGGAUGACCUGCAAAUUCAUGAAAUGUUUCAUAGUUUU